rnacentral:rRNA from 1 species
ACAAUUUGGUUAUNUNNNGAAGCAGGAGCGAGGGUGCUUGCACCUUAGCUUAGCGGCGGACGGGUGAGUAAUGCUUAGGAAUCUGCCUAUUAGUGGGGGACAACAUUCCGAAAGGGAUGCUAAUACCGCAUACGCCCUACGGGGGAAAGCAGGGGAUCUUCGGACCUUGCGCUAAUAGAUGAGCCUAAGUCGGAUUAGCUAGUUGGUGGGGUAAAGGCCUACCAAGGCGACGAUCUGUAGCGGGUCUGAAAGGAUGAUCCGCCACACUGGGACUGAGACACGGCCCAGACUCCUACGGGAGGCAGCAGUGGGGAAUAUUGGACAAUGGGGGGAACCCUGAUCCAGCCAUGCCGCGUGUGUGAAGAAGGCCUUUUGGUUGUAAAGCACUUUAAGCGAGGAGGAGGCGCUCUAGGAUAAUACCCUAGAUGCGUGGACGUUACUCGCAGAAUAAGCACCGGCUAACUCUGUGCCAGCAGCCGCGGUAAUACAGAGGGUGCGAGCGUUAAUCGGAUUUACUGGGCGUAAAGCGCGCGUAGGUGGCUAAUUAAGUCAAAUGUGAAAUCCCCGAGCUUAACUUGGGAAUUGCAUUCGAUACUGGUUAGCUAGAGUAUGGGAGAGGAUGGUAGAAUUCCAGGUGUAGCGGUGAAAUGCGUAGAGAUCUGGAGGAAUACCGAUGGCGAAGGCAGCCAUCUGGCCUAAUACUGACACUGAGGUGCGAAAGCAUGGGGAGCAAACAGGAUUAGAUACCCUGGUAGUCCAUGCCGUAAACGAUGUCUACUAGCCGUUGGGGCCUUUGAGGCUUUAGUGGCGCAGCUAACGCGAUAAGUAGACCGCCUGGGGAGUACGGUCGCAGACUAAAACUCAAAUGAAUUGACGGGGCCCGCACAAGCGUGGAGCAUGUGGUUUAUUCGAUGCAACGCGAGACCUUACCUGGCCUUGACAUACAGAG